rnacentral:rRNA from 1 species
GAUGAACGCUGGCGGCGUGCCUAAUACAUGCAAGUCGAGCGAACGGACGAGAAGCUUGCUUCUCUGAUGUUAGCGGCGGACGGGUGAGUAACACGUGGAUAACCUACCUAUAAGACUGGGAUAACUUCGGGAAACCGGAGCUAAUACCGGAUAAUAUUUUGAACCGCAUGGUUCAAAAGUGAAAGACGGUCUUGCUGUCACUUAUAGAUGGAUCCGCGCUGCAUUAGCUAGUUGGUAAGGUAACGGCUUACCAAGGCAACGAUGCAUAGCCGACCUGAGAGGGUGAUCGGCCACACUGGAACUGAGCCACGGUCCAGACUCCUACGGGAGGCAGCAGUAGGGAAUCUUCCGAAAUGGGCGAAAGCCUGACGGAGCAACGCCGCGUGAGUGAUGAAGGUCUUCGGAUCGUAAAACUCUGUUAUUAGGGAAGAACAUAUGUGUAAGUAACUGUGCACAUCUUGACGGUACCUAAUCAGAAAGCCACGGCUAACUACGUG